rnacentral:rRNA from 1 species
CACGUAGGGUGCGAGCGUUGUCCGGAAUUAUUGGGCGUAAAGAGCUCGUAGGCGGUGUGUCGCGUCGGCCGUGAAAACCUGCAGCUUAACUGUGGGCGUGCGGUCGAUACGGGCAUCACUGGAGUUCGGCAGGGGAGACUGGAAUUCCUGGUGUAGCGGUGAAAUGCGUAGAUAUCGUGAGGAAGACCGGUGGCGAAGGCGGAUCUCUGGACAGUUCCUGACGCUGAGGCGCGAAGGCCAGGGGAGCAAACGGG